GGAAGGAUCAUUAACACUGAGUCGCCUAUUCGAAAGGAUAGGUACGACUUGCCAACUCGUGCACUGAUUGUUUAUAAAUCUCUUGGUAAAACAAGAGGUUUGCUGCCCCGUCCUAAUUAUCUAUAAACUUGUUUAUAGGUACUUGGUAAGGCGGGCUCCAGCAACUUAAACUAUUUCACAUACCCUUCUCACGAUGUUUAAUACUGAUGAUACGUGAAACUAGCGAAAGCUAGACCUUCACAAAUUUUAACGAGAGACAACUCUUAACAACGGAUAUCUUGGCUCUCGCAUCGAUGAAGAACGCAGCGAAAUGCGAUAACUAGUGUGAAUUGCAGAAUCCAGUGAAUCAUCGAACCUUUGAACGCACAUUGCGCCUCUGGGCACUCCCAGGGGCACGCCUGCUUGAGUGCCACCUAACUACCUCACUAACCGACUUGUUCGGCACAAGUGGAGCUGAGCUGUCGAAAUAACUACGCAAGUAGUAUAAUUCCGUCGCUUGAAAGUUAGUGGUAUGAUUCAGGUUUUCAUUUCCUGUUCAAGCGUGGUACGCCUUUUUAAGGCAUUCCGCUUUUACCUUGCUUUUAUCUUCACUUCGGUGUCUAUAAAGGGGGAUUUGAUCACCUACUAUAAUCAGCCAAAGUCAAAAACGGGAGAUUGCAAAAUCUUUUAUUUUUGGCCUCAAGUCAGACGAGGUUACCCGCUGAAUUUAAGCAUAUUAUUAAGCGGAGGAAAAGAAACUAACAAGGAUUCCCCUAGUAGCGGCGAGUGAAGCGGGAAUAGCUCAAGCCUAAAAUCUGCAGGGUUCCCCUGCCGAAUUGUAGUCUAUAGGAGCGUUUUCUGGGACCGGCCGGGUAUAAAUCCCUUGGAACGGGGUAUCAUAGAGGGUGACAAUCCCGUCUGUGACUCGGAUUUUGGUUCCUGUACGAUACGUCUCCAGAGAGUCGGGUUGUUUGGGACUGCAGCCCUAACUGGGUGGUAAACCCCAUCCAAAGCUAAAUAUCGGCGAGAGACCGAUAGCGAACAAGUACCGUGAGGGAAAGAUGCAAAGAACUUUGAAAAGAGAGUUAAAUAGUGCUUGAAAUUGUUAAGAGGAAAGCGAUUGAAGCCAGUGUUUUAUCUAUGUCGGAUUCAGCGGUAGGUGCUAAACCUCCAGGAUUUUCAGGGACCGCAAGGCCCGGGUUCUGGUGUGGGAGGUUCCUGCUGUGUACUUCCGGCGUAGGUAGGCCAACAUCAGUUCUGCUGACUUCAUACGGCCCUAGGGAAGGUAGCUUCAUUCGUGAAGUGUUAUAGCCCUGGGUGUCCUGUGGUUGGUGGGACUGAGGAUUCGUCUGUAUGCGCUUUGCGGGUCAAGUAGUCGCCGUUGUUCACAUUUGGUUGGAAUGCUUGCAUUGUCUCUGAAUGUUGGGCUUCGCACGGUUACACGACUCCUGCAUACAAGGGAUGUUGGCAAUACGGCUUUAAUCGGCCCGUCUUGAAACACGGACCAAGGAGUCUAACAAGUAUGCGAGUCCUCGGGUGUCAAACCCAUGGGCGCAGUGAAAGCGAGAACGGUGGGAUCACUCACGUGUGCACCACCGGCCGACCAUGAUCACUCUGUGAAAGGUUUGAGUAUGAGCAUACAUGUUGGGACCCGAAAGAUGGUGAACUAUGCCUGACUAGGGCGAAGCCAGAGGAAACUCUGGUGGAGGCUCGAAGCGGUUCUGACGUGCAAAUCGAUCGUCAAAGUUGGGUAUAGGGGCGAAAGACUAAUCGAACCAUCUAGUAGCUGGUUCCCUC
rnacentral:misc_RNA from 1 species